CCUACGGGAGGCAGCAGUGAGGAAUAUUGGUCAAUGGACGAGAGUCUGAACCAGCCAAGUAGCGUGAAGGAUGACUGCCCUAUGGGUUGUAAACUUCUUUUAUAUGGGAAUAAAAUGUUCCACGUGUGGGAUUUUGUAUGUACCAUAUGAAUAAGGAUCGGCUAACUCCGUGCCAGCAGCCGCGGUAAUACGGAGGUUCCGAGCGUUAUCCGGAUUUAUUGGGUUUAAAGGGAGCGUAGGUGGAUUGUUAAGUCAGUUGUGAAAGUUUGCGGCUCAACCGUAAAAUUGCAGUUGAAACUGGCAGUCUUGAGUACAGUAGAGGUGGGCGGAAUUCGUGGUGUAGCGGUGAAAUGCUUAGAUAUCACGAAGAACUCCGAUUGCGAAGGUAGUUCACUGGACUGCAACUGACACUGAGGCUCGAAAGUGUGGGUAUCAAACAGGAUUAGAUACCCUAGUAGUC
rnacentral:rRNA from 1 species